rnacentral:lncRNA from 1 species
GGAAUACAGAUGGAGUCCAGCAGGAUGCAUGGUCAAGAAAAGGGCCUUGGAGGCCAGGUGCAGUGGUUCACUCCUGUAAUCCCAGCACUUUGGGAGGCCAAGGCGGGUGGAUCACUUGAGCCCAGGAGAUUGUGACCAGCCUGGGCAACAUGGUAAAACCCAGUCUGUAUUCAAAAUACAAAGAUAAGCCGGCUGUGGUGGCAUGUGCCUGUAGUCUUAGUUACUUUGGGGGCUGAGGUGGGAGAAUUACUUGAGCCCAGGAAGUCGAGGCUGCAGUGA